rnacentral:misc_RNA from 1 species
AAAGGUUUAUCAUGGUCAAAAGAGCUUGUCUCUUUUGACUUAACCAUGAUCUAUCCACAAUGUGCAUUUAUUGAAAUAUGCUUUGGCAAGGACAAAUUUUUUUUGUCUUUGUCAGAGAUUUUCUUUUAAUUAUAUCCUUAAUGUUUGACUGAAUAAAAAAAUUUUAAAAAUUUUAAUA